AUCAUUAAAGAACGCCCCGUUUUUUGAAAUGGGUAAUUCCCAAACCGUGUCUAUAUACCUUUGUUGCUUUGGCAGGUCGCCUUCUAGGAGGCGUCGGCUCCGGCUGACUGCGCCUGCCAGAGGACCCAAACUCGUUUUGUUUAGUGUCGUCUGAGUACUAUAUAAUAGUUAAAACUUUCAACAACGGAUCUCUUGGUUCUGGCAUCGAUGAAGAACGCAGCGAAAUGCGAUAAGUAAUGUGAAUUGCAGAAUUCAGUGAAUCAUCGAAUCCUUGAACGCACAUUGCGCCCCUUGGUAUUCCGAGGGGCAUGCCUGUUCGAGCGUCAUUAUAACCACUCAAGUUUCGACUUGGUAUUGGGGUUCGCGGUUUCGCGGCCCUUAAAAUCAGUGGCGGUGCCGUCUGGCUCUAAGCGUAGUAAUUCUCUCGCUACAGGGUCCGGGUGGUUGCUUGCCAGAAUCCCCCACUUUUAUAGGUUGACCUCGGAUCAGGUAGGGAUACCCGCUGAACUUAAGCAUAUCAA
rnacentral:sRNA from 1 species